UUGGAGCCUGCAAAGACUUAUGGAGACAUCUGUUUCUCUCCCCGCAUGGCUGCCAACUGCACCAUCACCAGCCUUGCCACCAACAGAAGGUUAUGCUUUUCUCUCUGUCUCUCCCUCUCUCCCUGGGCUCCAGCUCUGCCUCGGUGCCACCAUCUGUGGUCCUGGCAAAG